rnacentral:rRNA from 1 species
GACGAACGCUGGCGGCGUGCUUAACACAUGCAAGUCGAACGUGAUUUUUGUGGAAAUUCUUUCGGGAAUGGAAAUGAAAUGAAAGUGGCGAACGGGUGAGUAACACGUGAGCAACCUACCUUACACAGGGGGAUAGCCGUUGGAAACGACGAUUAAUACCGCAUGAGACCACAGAAUCGCAUGAUAUAGGGGUCAAAGAUUUAUCGGUGUAAGAAGGGCUCGCGUCUGAUUAGCUAGUUGGAAGGGUAAAGGCCUACCAAGGCGACGAUCAGUAGCCGGUCUGAGAGGAUGAACGGCCACAUUGGAACUGAGACACGGUCCAAACUCCUACGGGAGGCAGCAGUGGGGAAUAUUGCACAAUGGGGGGAACCCUGAUGCAGCGACGCCGCGUGAGCGAAGAAGGUUUUCGAAUCGUAAAGCUCUGUCCUAUGAGAAGAUAAUGACGGUAUCAUAGGAGGAAGCCCCGGCUAAAUACGUGCCAGCAGCCGCGGUAAUACGUAUGGGGCGAGCGUUGUCCGGAAUUAUUGGGCGUAAAGGGUACGUAGGCGGUUUUUUAAGUCAGGUGUGAAAGCGUGAGGCUUAACCUCAUUAAGCACUUGAAACUGGAAGACUUGAGUGAAGGAGAGGAAAGUGGAAUUCCUAGUGUAGCGGUGAAAUGCGUAGAUAUUAGGAGGAAUACCGGUGGCGAAGGCGACUUUCUGGACUUUUACUGACGCUCAGGUACGAAAGCGUGGGGGAGCAAACAGG